UAAGCGGAGGAAAAGAAACUAACUAAGAUUGCCUUAGUAACGGCGAGUGAAGUGGCAAAAGCCCAAACUGGAAAUCUUCACACUUCGUGUGACGACUUGUAAUCUAGAGGAUUGUAGCUCACCUGGAGGAGACGCAGAAGUGCCUUAGAAUGGGCCGCCAAAGAGGGUGACAGCCCCGUAUGUGGUGUCUCCGCCUAACGAGCUUAGUCCAAAGAGUCGGGUAGUUUCGGAAUGCUGCCCUAAAAGGGAGAUAGACUUCUUCUAAGGCUAAAUAUAUAUGGGAAACCGAUAGCGAACAAGUACUGUGAAGGAAAGAUGAAAAGAACUUUGAAAAGAGAGUCAAAAGACUUGAAAUCGUUGAGAAGGAAGCGGUAGAAAUUUAUUCUUCAGGUGAUAACAAAGUGUUCGUCUUGCGUAUUGGAUCAGUGUAGUACGUCAAAGGCUUGCUGGUUCACGUGCGUAUACGAUUGCGGAGUUCUCAUCGGUGAGGCAAAAUGGGGUUCCACACCCAUACAAGCUGUUUGAAUUUGGGUUUCGGCCACUUCAGAUGUGCUAAUGGGCGUGAAGCUCGAGGAUGCUUUGUGCGAUUUUGCCAAAAUGGUUUUUACCGACCCGUCUUGAAACACGGACCAAGGAGUCUAAC
rnacentral:rRNA from 1 species